UACGGGGGGGGCAAGCGUUGUUCGGAAUUACUGGGCGUAAAGGGCUCGUAGGCGGCCAACUAAGUCAGACGUGAAAUCCCUCGGCUUAACCGGGGAACUGCAUCUGAUACUGGAUGGCUUGAGAUUGGGAGAGGGAUGCGGAAUUCCAGGUGUAGCGGUGAAAUGCGUAGAGAUCGGGAGGAAGGCCGGUGGCGAAGGCGGCGCUCUGGAACAUUUCUGACGCUGAGGCUCGAAAGCGUGGGGAGCAAACAGG
rnacentral:rRNA from 1 species